CCUACGGGAGGCAGCAGUGAGGAAUAUUGGUCAAUGGGGGCGACCCUGAACCAGCCAAGUAGCGUGAAUGAUGACUGCCCUACGGGUUGUAAACUUCUUUUAUGAGGGAAUAAAGUGAGGCUCGUGUGCCUUUUUGCAUGUACUUUAUGCAUAAGGAUCGGCUAACUCCGUGCCAGCAGCCGCGGUAAUACGGAGGAUCCGAGCGUUAUCCGGAUUUAUUGGGUUUAAAGGGAGCGUAGGUGGGCAGUUAAGUCAGUUGUGACAGUUUGCGGCUCAACCGUCAAAUUGCAAGUGAUACUGGGAGGCUUGAGAGGAGUAGAGGAAGGCGGAAUUCGUGGUGUAGCGGUGAAAUGCGUAGAUAUCACGAAGAACUCCGAUUGCGAAGGCAGCCUACUAAACUGUAACUGACGUUGAGGCUCGAAAGUGUGGGUAUCAAACAGGAUUAGAUACCCUAGUAGUC
rnacentral:rRNA from 1 species